UGGGGAAUAUUGCACAAUGGGGGAAACCCUGAUGCAGCGACGCCGCGUGAACGAAGAAGGUAUUCGUAUCGUAUAGUUCUGUCCUAUGGGAAGAUAAUGACAGUACCAUAGAAGAAAGCUCCGGCUAAAUACGUGCCAGCAGCCGCGGUAAUACGUAUGGAGCGAGCGUUGUCCGGAAUUAUUGGGCGUAAAGGGUACGCAGGCGGUUUAAUAAGUCGAAUGUUAAAGAUCGGGGCUCAACCCCGUAAAGCAUUGGAAACUGAUAAACUUGAGUAGGGGAGAGGAAAGUGAAAUUCCUGGUGUAGUGGUGAAAUACGUAGAUAUUAGGAGGAAUACCAGUAGCGAAGGCGACUUUCUGGACACAAACUGACGCUGAGGUACGAAAGCGUGGGGAGCAAACAGG
rnacentral:rRNA from 1 species